GACGGGUGAGUAACACGUAGAUAACCCGCCCUCAAGACGGGGACAACCGGUGGAAACAGCGGCUAAUACCCGAUAUGCUCACAGGAUCGGGAGAUCGAGUGAGGAAAGCGCCCCUUCGGGGGAGAGUGUUCGAGGAGGGAUCUGCGGCCCAUCAGCUAGUUGGUGAGGUAACGGCUCACCAAGGCGAAGACGGGUAGGGGGUGUGAGAGCAUGGCCCCCCACAAUGGGACUGAGACACGGCCCAUACUCCUACGGGAGGCAGCAGCGGGGAAUAUUGCGCAAUGGACGGAAGUCAGACGCAGCGACGCCGCGUGGGUGAGGAAGGCCUUCGGGUUGUAAAGCCCUUUUCAGGGGAGCGAGAAAGGACGGUACCCUUGGAAUAAGCGUCGGCUAACUACGUGCCAGCAGCCGCGGUAAGACGUAGGACGCAAGCGUUAUCCGGAUUUACUGGGCGUAAAGCGCCUGUAGGCGGUCAAGUAAGUCGGAUGUGAAAGCCCCGUGCUCAACGCGGGGAAGCCAUUCGAUACUGCGUGACUAGAGAACGGCAGAGGGAAACGGAAUUUCUGGUGUAGCGGUAAAAUGCGCAGAGAUCAGAAAGAACACCGAUGGCGAAGGCAGUUUCCUAGGCCGCAUCUGACGCUGAGAGGCGAAAGCUAGGGGAGCAAACAGGAUUAGAGACCCUGGUAGUCCUAGCUGUAAACGAUGGAUGCUAGGUGUGGGCCGGAAAGGCCCGUGCCGUAGUUAACGCGAUAAGCAUCCCGCCUGGGGAGUACGGCCGCAAGGCUAAAACUCAAACGAAUUGACGGGGACCCGCACAAGCAGCGGAGCGUGUGGUUUAAUUCGAUGCUACACGCAGAACCUUACCUGGGCUUGACAUGUAGGUGGUAGUGAAGUGAAAGCGGAGCGACCCUUCGGGGAGCCUACACAGGUGCUGCAUGGCUGUCGUCAGCUCGUGCCGUGAGGUGUCGGGUUAAGUCCUGUAACGAGCGCAACCCUUUUCGUUAGUUACAAGUGUGUAAGGAGACUGCCGGUGACAAACCGGAGGAAGGUGGGGAUGACGUCAAGUCAG
rnacentral:rRNA from 1 species